rnacentral:rRNA from 1 species
UGGGGAAUAUUGGGCAAUGGGCGAAAGCCUGACCCAGCAACGCCGCGUGAUUGAAGAAGGUCUUCGGAUUGUAAAGAUCUGUCCUUGGGGACGAAAAAAAUGACGGUACCCAAGGAGGAAGCCCCGGCUAACUACGUGCCAGCAGCCGCGGUAAUACGUAGGGGGCGAGCGUUGUCCGGAAUUACUGGGCGUAAAGGGUGCGCAGGCGGUUUUUUAAGUCAGAUGUGAAAUACCCGGGCUUAACCUGGGGGGUGCAUUUGAAACUGGAAGACUGGAGUGCAGGAGAGGAAAGUGGAAUUCCUAGUGUAGCGGUGAAAUGCGUAGAUAUUAGGAGGAACACCAGUGGCGAAGGCGACUUUCUGGACUGUAACUGACGCUGAGGCACGAAAGCGUGGGGAGCAAACA